AACGAACGCUGGCGGCAGGCUUAACACAUGCAAGUCGAACGCCCCGCAAGGGGAGUGGCAGACGGGUGAGUAACACGUGGGAACCUUCCUCGUUGUACGGAACAACUCAGGGAAACUUUAGCUAAUACCGUAUACGUCCGAGAGGAGACAGAUUUAUCGCAAUGAGACGGGCCCGCGUCGGAUUAGCUAGUUGGUGGGGUAACGGCCUACCAAGGCAACGAUCCGUAGCUGAUAUGAGAGGAUGAUCAGCCACACUGGGACUGAGACACGGCCCAGACUCCUACGGGAGGCAGCAGUGGGGAAUCUUGGACAAUGGGCGCAAGCCUGAUCCAGCCAUGCCGCGUGAGUGAAGAAGGCCUUCGGGUUGUAAAGCUCUUUUGUCAGGGACGAUAAUGACGGUACCUGAAGAAUAAGCCCCGGCAAACUUCGUGCCAGCAGCCGCGGUAA
rnacentral:rRNA from 1 species